rnacentral:sRNA from 1 species
UGGAACCCCACCGACCAGAGCCCUCUGACUUCUGCAAGGAGAGUCCAGCAGAGCAGGAGGGUCGGGGGAUGCUUCCCACACGCUGCCCCCCCUACAGGCCUUUGUCCUGUCCUGGAGGGACCCCCUCUGGGGGAGAAGGUAAGUUUGGUUUCCAUUACCCAUCCCAGCCUCAGUGCU